AGUGAACGCUGGCGGUAGGCCUAACACAUGCAAGUCGAACGGCAGCACAGUAAGAGCUUGCUCUUACGGGUGGCGAGUGGCGGACGGGUGAGGAAUACAUCGGAAUCUACUUUUUCGUGGGGGAUAACGUAGGGAAACUUACGCUAAUACCGCAUACGACCUACGGGUGAAAGCAGGGGAUCUUCGGACCUUGCGCGAUUGAAUGAGCCGAUGUCGGAUUAGCUAGUUGGCGGGGUAAAGGCCCACCAAGGCGACGAUCCGUAGCUGGUCUGAGAGGAUGAUCAGCCACACUGGAACUGAGACACGGUCCAGACUCCUACGGGAGGCAGCAGUGGGGAAUAUUGGGCAAUGGGCGCAAGCCUGAUCCAGCCAUACCGCGUGGGUGAAGAAGGCCUUCGGGUUGUAAAACCCUUUUGUUGGGAAAGAAAAGCAGCAGGUUAAUACCCCGCUGUUCUGACGGUACCCAAAGAAUAAGCACCGGCUAACUUCGUG
rnacentral:rRNA from 1 species